rnacentral:tRNA from 1 species
GGCACCAGGUUUUGAUCCUGGCAUUCCCAGGUUCGAAUCCUGGUAUCCCAGCCAUUUUUCUGAAAUGGUUUG